rnacentral:rRNA from 1 species
AACGAACGCUGGCGGCGCGCCUAAUACAUGCAAGUCGAGCGAGAAGACGUAGCAAUACGUUUGUAAAGCGGCGAACGGGUGAGGAAUACAUGGGUAACCUACCCUCGAGUGGGGAAUAACUAGCCGAAAGGUUAGCUAAUACCGCGUACGCUCCUUGGACUUCGGUUCAGGGAGGAAAGCGAUACCGUGGGUAUCGCGCUCUUGGAUGGGCUCAUGUCCUAUCAGCUUGUUGGGAGGUAACGGCUCACCAAGGCUUCGACGGGUAGCUGGUCUGAGAGGACGAUCAGCCACACUGGCACUGCGACACGGGCCAGACUCCUACGGGAGGCAGCAGUAAGGAAUAUUGCGCAAUGGGCGAAAGCCUGACGCAGCGACGCCGCGGUGGGGGGAGUGAAGGGU